GGGGCGUAGCUCGGAUGGUAGAGCACUCGCUCAGCAUGUGAAAGGUACGGGGAUCGAUACCCCGCACCUCCG
rnacentral:tRNA from 1 species